CCUGCCAGAGCCCCGGGAGCUGCCCUGCCAAGACCUAUCCUGGGAGAGCUAUUGAAAGAGCCUCGAGAAAAGGGUCAGGGGACCCAGGGGAAGAGACCGAAGAGGUGGUAUAAUUGAGCCCAAGAGAAGUGACUUGCCCAAGGUUCAGCACUCUCCAAGAGGAAAUAGCAAAGCCAGAAUUAGGCUUAGAUUUUCUGCUCACCAGUCCAGAAACCCGCCUCACCAUGUUGCUCCAAACACAUUUUGAGGCUUUUAUCGGGACCAGAGAAGAUGUGAUGAUGUUGGAGCACAAAGACAUUGAACUGCUGGCUGAUGUCACGAGUAGCAGAGGGAGAGCGCACAGCAGGCCUCUCCCUGCCCCGGGGCCAAGCUUCUCCUCUGGUCCACCCACCGCCUCCCAUCUUCUCCAGAUCCUUCCCAUCCUCCGAGGAGGCCGCCCUCCAGCCCCGCUCUCGGAACACCUGCCCCUCGGUGGGGGACACUCACCAGAUCCGCUUCACAUGUGCAGCCCCUGGAGACACACCACAGAUGCACGUGGAGUCUCAGGGCCCCUUAGACACCAGGACCGGCCCCACGUGCCUCAGCGGCCUGUCAGCUGGUCUGUUGGUGUCUGGCAUACCUUAAGAAUGAAGCGAUUAUGUUUCCUCUUAAUCACAAACCGCUUCGGAGGGGAUGAAAGAUGUCCUGAAGUUUCUUUGCGUGAAGUGUCUUAAUCUUGCAAAGGUUGGUUUUGGUUUCCAUUGAUUGAAAACAAAAAUAGAUGCCAACUGAAGGCUUCUUGGACAGGAAUGAAUGGAUUUCCAAUCUGCGUUUUCUUGUUUACCCUGGAAAAUAUGCAAUCCAAGGGAAACACAGGUGGUUAAACUGUUCGGUGCCUCUGUUUUGAUCAUACGCAGAGGGCUCUAAGCAUUCACACGCAAAUAUUUUAAGUCAUACAGAAGGAAGACUAACUUUUCAGGGUUCCAGGACUUUAGGUUUCCUAGGGUAUAUUUAAGUUCUUCUCUUUCAGCCAUCUAUGGAAAAACACCUUUCAGAUCCAAUACAGACUGAAUUCCAGAACAACUGAAAAACCAAAAAAGCUCACAAUUGGCGCUGAAAAGCAGCAUCUCUCUUCCCUUAGGGUCUUUCUGCUUUGCUUUUGCAUCCCUUUUGUUUUGCAAAAAAUACUGUCUUCGGUGGGGAGAGGGAAGCCUGCUCCCCGGCCGCUUAGUUGGGAAACGGAGCUGGGGACCGAGACGCAGCAGGUCCCUGGAGCAGGCGGC
rnacentral:lncRNA from 1 species